UACAGAGGUCUCAAGCGUUGUUCGGAUUCACUGGGCGUAAAGGGUGCGUAGGUGGUGAAGUAAGUCGGAUGUGAAAUCUCGGAGCUUAACUCCGAAACUGCAUUGGAAACUACUUUGCUCGAGGGGUUGGAGGGGGGACUGGAAUUCUCGGUGUAGCAGUGAAAUGCGUAGAUAUCGAGAGGAACACCAGUGGCGAAGGCGAGUCCCAGGACAACUCCUGACACUGAGGCACGAAAGCUAGGGGGAGCAAACAGG
rnacentral:rRNA from 1 species